CCUUUCUAUUAUUACAUAUAAAACAGUAUAUAGGUUUCCUAAACCUAUUCUCCUUCUUCUUCGUCGCACAUCUGGUUUCUUUAGCUAAAAACUAUAGUCUUUCAUUAUCUAGAAUAUUAAGUUUUUGAUUCUUCUUCUAUGGGUUAUCAACCAAGUGCCAUGGUUUGCAGUUGCUUAUGUGAUUAUCAGCUCUCAAAAGUUGGUACUUCCUUCUUUUUUGUUUUCUUCUCUUACUCUGGUUCUUCAUUAAUGGCUACUUAUAAUAUCUUGAGGUGCGUUCUCUGAUGGAUGGGAUGAAGCUCCUCAUUUUAUUCUGCAUUGAAGGAAUCAGGACCCUGGAUGCUAUCUGAGUUCUCUUUUUUGAUGGUAUGGAGAUACUGGAAUUCUUGGAAUCGUAUGAAAGUAGACUGACUUAGUUUAUCCAGGCGUUUCACACGACAACAUAUUCCCUGACCUUCUCCUUUUGCUGAGAGUCCUUGUUGAAGGUUGUGGUAGAAUAGGCUAGGAAAUUGUUUGUGUAGUUUUCUCAUUGUAAAUAUUCUACUAUGCAUUUGUGAUCACUGUAGCUUGCUCGCUGAUGUACUCUCUUGUUGCUCUUAUCCUUAUUUAUUGACAUUGUAAUUUGUCACUAUUUAGUAUCUUUAUACCUCGUGACUAUAAUUGAUGAAAGUUUGUGAUUGUAAAA